rnacentral:rRNA from 1 species
AUCUGGGCGGCGGAAUUCAGGACGGUCGGGCGGGCCUCGCGCUCGUCGGGCCGUUUGAUAUUUCCGUCGCCGUGUCAGACGUCGCGACCUGUUCGUCGCCGGUCCUUGCUCGGAGGAAGCGCGAUGGAGUUCGUUGCGGGCGCGUUUCGGCGCGUUCCGCGGCGAAGACGCGACUCUCUGGCUGGCGACGGACAGUAAGCAACGGUGUCCGGCGUCGUGUCUCGCACUCGACGUCGGUGCCGGUCGGCGACGAUUUCUUCGGGCCUCUUUCCGACCCGUCUUGAAACACGGACCAAGGAGUCUAACAUGCGCGCGAGUCGCGGGGUUUCGAGCGUGCCACGGUGCGCUCGUUACUUCCGAAACCCGUACGUUGAAGGCGUAAUGAAAGUGAAUAGGGAAGAUGGCGUUCCGAGUCCACGUACCGUGAUCGAGUAUCGCGGCCGGACGUCCGCACUCCCGGGGCGUCUCAAUGGCUCGCCACGGAUGCGGACGGUCGUCUCUCGGGGCGGCCGUCGGUCUGUGGCGGUCCGA